UACGGGGGGGGCAAGUGUUCUUCGGAAUUACUGGGCGUAAAGGGCUCGUAGGCGGCCAACUAAGUCAGACGUGAAAUCCCUCGGCUUAACCGGGGAACUGCAUCUGAUACUGGAUGGCUGGAGUUCGGGAGAGGGAUGCGGAAUUCCAGGUGUAGCGGUGAAAUGCGUAGAUAUCUGGAGGAACACCGGUGGCGAAGGCGGCAUCCUGGACCGGCACUGACGCUGAGGAGCGAAAGCCAGGGGAGCAAACGGG
rnacentral:rRNA from 1 species